rnacentral:rRNA from 1 species
UGUAAAACGAAUCUAAGUUCUCCCUCAGCCCCUUCCCCAAGACAAACCAAUCAAGUCCCCAUGCAAUGGGCUAAGAGCUAUUUAAAGGGGGUACAGCCCCUUUAAAAAAGGAUACAACCUCCACCAGUGGAUAACCCCACCCCAACCCAACCCCCGUGGGCCUUAAAGCAGCCACCCUUAGAGAGUGCGUCAAAGCUCUACAGACUAAAAAAAUCCAAAAACAACGUAAAUCCCUGAACCCCUAACAGGUCAACCUACGACAGUAGAUGAAUCAAUGCUAAAACGAGUAACCAGGGCACCAAGCCCCCUAAAGCGUCAACCUAAACACCAUUAACAGUACAACUACAAUACCACACCCCCGACCAAACAUUGAACACACCCUGUCAGACCAACCCAGGAGCGCACACUAGGACGAUUAUAAUCUGCAGAAGGAACUCGGCAAACCUAAGACCCGACUGUUUACCAAAAACAUAGCCUUCAGCCAAACAAGUAUUGAAGGUGAUGCCUGCCCAGUGACACACGUUUAACGGCCGCG